rnacentral:tRNA from 1 species
GGGUGCUUAGCUCAGCUGGUAGAGCAUCGCCCUUACAAGGCGAGGGUCACAGGUUCGAUCCCUGUAGCACCCACCA